rnacentral:rRNA from 1 species
UACGUAGGUGGCGAGCGUUGUCCGGAUUUACUGGGCGUAAAGAGCGCGCAGGCGGUCGAUCAAGUCGAGUGUGAAAGCCCCCGGCUCAACUGGGGAGGGUCAUUCGAUACUGAUCGACUCGAAGGCAGGAGAGGGUAGUGGAAUUCCUGGUGUAGCGGUGAAAUGCGCAGAUAUCAGGAAGAACACCCGUGGCUAAGGCGGCUCUCGUAGUACGGUACUGACGCUGAGGUGCGAAAGCGUGGGGAGCAAACAGG